UACGGGGGGAGCAAGCGUUGUUCGGAUUUACUGGGCGUAAAGGGCGCGUAGGCGGCCACCGCAAGUCACUUGUGAAAUCUCCGGGCUUAACCCGGAAAGGUCAACUGAUACUGCGGGGCUAGAGUGCAGAAGGGGCAACUGGAAUUCUCGGUGUAGCGGUGAAAUGCGUAGAUAUCGAGAGGAGCACCUGCGGCGAAGGCGGGUUGCUGGGCUGACACUGACGCUGAGGCGCGAAAGCCAGGGGAGCGAACAGG
rnacentral:rRNA from 1 species